rnacentral:rRNA from 1 species
CCUCCUACGGGGGGGCAGCAGUGGGGAAUAUUGCACAAUGGGCGCAAGCCUGAUGCAGCCAUGCCGCGUGUAUGAAGAAGGCCUUCGGGUUGUAAAGUACUUUCAGCGGGGAGGAAGGUGUUGUGGUUAAUAACCACAGCAAUUGACGUUACCCGCAGAAGAAGCACCGGCUAACUCCGUGCCAGCAGCCGCCGUAAUACGGAGGGUGCAAGCGUUAAUCGGAAUUACUGGGCGUAAAGCGCACGCAGGCGGUCUGUCAAGUCGGAUGUGAAAUCCCCGGGCUCAACCUGGGAACUGCAUUCGAAACUGGCAGGCUAGAGUCUUGUAGAGGGGGGUAGAAUUCCAGGUGUAGCGGUGAAAUGCGUAGAGAUCUGGAGGAAUACCGGUGGCGAAGGCGGCCCCCUGGACAAAGACUGACGCUCAGGUGCGAAAGCGUGGGGAGCAAACAGGAUUAGAUACCCCGGUAGUCAG